GAAGAACGCUGGCGGCGUGCCUAAUACAUGCAAGUAGAACGCCGUUGCGAACGGGUGAGUAACGCGUAGGUACCUGCCUCCUCGCGGGGGAUAACUAUUGGACACGCUAGCUAAUACCGCAUCCUGUGAGAUGGACCUGCGUUGUAUUCGCUAGUUGGUGGGGUAAAGGCUCACCAAGGCGACGAUACAUAGCCGACCUGCGAGGGGGAGAGGCCAUACUGGGACGUGUACACGGCCCAGAAGCCUAAGAGAGGGAGGAGUAGGGAAUGUGCGGCAAGUGACUGAAGUCUGACCGAGCAACGCCGGGCGCGGGAAGAAGGGUUUCGGAGCGUAAAGCUCGGUGGUGAGAGAAGCGGUAACUAACCAGAAAGGGACGGGUAACUACGUGUCAGCAGCCGCGGUAAUUC
rnacentral:rRNA from 1 species